CGACGGGACAGAAUGAAACCUAGUGAUUUCUGUUUCAGUGGCGGACGGGUGAGUAACGCGUGGGUAACCUGCCUUGCACUGGGGGAUAACACUUAGAAAUAGGUGCUAAUACCGCAUAAGCGCACAAUACCGCAUGGUAGAGUGUGAAAAACUCCGGUGGUGCAAGAUGGACCCGCGUCUGAUUAGCCAGUUGGCGGGGUAACGGCCCACCAAAGCGACGAUCAGUAGCCGGCCUGAGAGGGUGAACGGCCACAUUGGGACUGAGACACGGCCCAAACUCCUACGGGAGGCAGCAGUGGGGAAUAUUGCACAAUGGGGGAAACCCUGAUGCAGCAACGCCGCGUGAGUGAAGAAGUCAUUCGUGAUGUAAAGCUCUAUCAGCAGGGAAGAAAAUGACGGUACCUGACUAAGAAGCCCCGGCUAACUACGUGCCAGCAGCCGCGGUAAUACGUAGGGGGCAAGCGUUAUCCGGAUUUACUGGGUGUAAAGGGAGCGUAGACGGCGAGACAAGUCUGAAGUGAAAUGCCAGUGCUCAACACUGGAACUGCUUUGGAAACUGCCUGGCUGGAGUGCGGGAGAGGUAAGUGGAAUUCCUAGUGUAGCGGUGAAAUGCGUAGAUAUUAGGAGGAACACCAGUGGCGAAGGCGGCUUACUGGACCGUAACUGACGUUGAGGCUCGAAGGCGUGGGGAGCAAACAGGAUUAGAUACCCUGGUAGUCCACGCGGUAAACGAUGAUUACUAGGUGUCGGGGAGCUAGAGCUCUUCGGUGCCGCCGCAAACGCAAUAAGUAAUCCACCUGGGGAGUA
rnacentral:rRNA from 1 species